GCAGUCUGGGCCUAAUGGUUAGCGAGUCGGACUUGUAACCCGAAGGCCAUGGGUUCAAGUCUCAGGUCCGGCA